rnacentral:rRNA from 1 species
GAUGAACGCUGGCGGCGUGCCUAAUACAUGCAAGUCGAGCGAACAGACGAGGAGCUUGCUCCUCUGAUGUUAGCGGCGGACGGGUGAGUAACACGUGGAUAACCUACCUAUAAGACUGGGAUAACUUCGGGAAACCGGAGCUAAUACCGGAUAAUAUUUUGAACCGCAUGGUUCAAUAGUGAAAGACGGUCUUGCUGUCACUUAUAGAUGGAUCCGCGCCGCAUUAGCUAGUUGGUAAGGUAACGGCUUACCAAGGCGACGGUGCGUAGCCGACCUGAGAGGGUGAUCGGCCACACUGGAACUGAAACACGGUCCAGACUCCUACGGGAGGCAGCAGUAGGGAAUCUUCCGCAAUGGGCGAAAGCUAGACGGAGCAACGCCACGUGAGUGAUGAAGGUCUUCGGAUCGUAAAACUCUGUUAUUAGGGAAGAACAAAUGUGUAAGUAACUGUGCACGUCUUGACGGUACCUAAUCAGAAAGCCACGGCUAACUACGUG